rnacentral:rRNA from 1 species
AUACGGAGGGUGCAAGCGUUAAUCGGAAUUACUGGGCGUAAAGCGCGCGUAGGCGGCUGAUUAAGUCGGAUGUGAAAUCCCUGGGCUCAACCUAGGAACUGCAUCCGAUACUGGUCAGCUAGAGUGUUGGAGAGGUAAGUGGAAUUUCCGGUGUAGCGGUGAAAUGCAUAGAGAUCGGAAGGAACACCAGUGGCGAAGGCGACUUACUGGCCAAAAACUGACGCUGAGGUGCGAAAGCGUGGGUAGCGAACAGGAUUAGAAACCCUAGUAGUCC